GGGAGCAGGGGGCAGGCCAGGCGGUGAACAGGAGGGAGUCUGAAAGUUUUCAGAGAUGAGACAUUUGCGUUUCUCAGCUCCCAUGGCUUCUCGCCUGAAACUGUUUCCCUCCGUAGGAGAUUUGAGUAACCGAUCCCUUGACAAACAACUUAAGACAGCUGGAGCUCUAAUCAUCAAGAAUUUUUAUGGUGCUGCUUUUGAAGUAAAAAUAAAGUGAAACCCCUUAUGGCAUUUCAAGUGGAAAAAUAAAUAAGGUUGGCCGUCCACGCAGGGGGCUCCGGCGACGGCUGGAAGUGCGGGAGUGGCGUGGUUCUGUGCCGUCAAUGUGCACGUGCUCCCAUGGCCGUGACCUUUGAGACAAAGCUGGGUGGCUUGCCAGGGCCCUGUGCUGGGUGUCCACCUCUCCAUCUCUUCUCCUUCUAGAAAACAUAACAGGAGCACUGCCUGUCCAAGGCACAGGGCUGUUGUGAGAGUUUAUUGUUGUAAAAGGGCUUGGGUUGUUUCAUAAAAGGUCAUCUGUUAUACCUAGAUUGGUAAUUUAUUGCUAUGAAGUUUUGUGUAGUUUUCUCCUGCCCUUUGCAAUCUCCCCAUUGUCAGUGUAUUCCUUUUUUCAUUCCUACCAUCGCCUAUCAGUGCUUUUCCUUUUCUUCGUCAAAACUUGCCAAAGGUUUGUUCAUUUUAGAGGUAUUUUCAGAGAACCAAACUUAUUGAUUAUACCUGCUGGGUAUUUUUCCUAUCUGAUGCUUUUGUGUUUUUACUUCUGCAUUCUUUUUUUUCUGCGUUUCUGGGUGUAUUUUGUGGUUCAGCAAAGUCUUGACAAGUUGAGGAUGGUUUGUUCAGCAAACAUUGAGCCCCUGUACUGGGCUUGCUAGGGAUUUCAGGGGCAAGACCCAGGCCUGACUCUCCAGGAGCGCAUGACUCUAGCCUAGUGGGAAGACUUAAGAAAAUAGACAACUGCAAAUUCCAAAAACAAAACAAACAAACAAGGCUUUUGUGGCCACGCUCUCCCGUGGAGGCACCUGGAUGAUGAAUGAAGCCAAGAGUUUUGCUUACUUUGCUCUCCCUCAGAAAGCAGCUUUCUGUCAUAGGUCAAGCUCACUAAAGAGUCACAAACAGGCCUCCCUCUGAAAGAUUUGUGGCCCCUUUCCAGCAGGGAGCCUGCAGCCCACCCUUUCCCAAGGUGAUGCCACAUCAGCAUUCUGUCUGCCCAGCACUGCUUUCCACCUGCCAAGGCAGCACCAGCAGCACCCUGCCCCCUCUUCCUGAAAUGCCUUUCAGGAAAAUGAGAAGUGGAUAUCUAUUCUGGAAAAGAGCAGGGUACCAGGUCUUAGAAAACCACACCCUGCAAUUCUGCCAGUCGCCGUGGCUGCUAGUGUGAAAUGGUUGCUCAUGUGGUGGUACCUGGUAACCACAAGAUCCCAUGAGGCCUAGGUCUGGGCUUCUUUAGGAACUGGUCUGUGCCCUGCUCUGCGCCUCAGUUUCCUUGUAGGUAAGAUGUGGGCUUUGGAGCAAACACAGUCUUCCUACCCCUAAUAUACUGGGACUCCUUUCUCCGAGGAUCUUCGGGUCCUCCUGGAUGCAUUUGAGGAAGGUGAUUGAACUCUGGGAAGGUGGCACUGCAUAUGCAGCAGUGCAUAUGCUUUAUGCUUUAAUGAUUGUACCACAUGAGCCUAGAUAUGCCUCUGUCAGGAAGCCUUCCUGGACGCUUCCCUCUCCCUAGAGAUCCAGUUGCCUAGAUGACUUCACUCAGCCCUCUGUUGAGUGUUAGUGCUAGUGGUCAUGCAGACUUUCUCUUCCGCAGUGAUUGGGCUCCCCCCACCUCCCUAGGGGGCUUGCAUUGUUAUUUAAUCUGAGGUACUUGUCAGAAUCCUGUACGGGACCAGGCCUUGGGGUCACACAGUGGACAAGGUGGACCAUCUCUGCCAUCAGGGAGUCAUCCAAGCUAAUGGGAAAGGGGAUGACCUUGGGCAGAUAAUCCCACAGAUAGAUAUAAUAUGGACCGUGGCAGGUGCCCUAAGAGGAGUCUAGGGGGGGACCUAGUGUGGGCUGGGGAGGAUUGAUGUUCAGGCUGAGACCUGAGGACAAGUGUAAAUGUCGGAGCAGUGAAAUAACAAAUGAGAUGUUAUUUCUCACCAUCUAAUCAAGCAUCUCUGCUUACAGCUGAAGAGACUGGGCUGAAAGCAAAAUGAAGGACCCCCAGUAUCUGGCUGCCCUGGAGGGCUGUAUUGGGAGAUAGUGAGGGGGUUGAAGGUUGACGUGUUGGUGGCGGGCCCCCAAACUCAGCCCUGAGUGAGAAGUCUUCAGUUUCCAACUGACUGGAACCAUCACAGACAAGGAUCUGAUGGGAGUAGGGGGUGACCCAAUCAGAGCAGCAGCUAAUUUAAGGCGGGAUGAUUUUCAGAGGGACAGGAUAGCCUUUGAGCAGUAACAGCAGCAGGACUGUCAAGAAGGCCACUGCCCCGCCUGGAUCACUGGGGAAGGCGAGAAGUAGACCCAAGGAGCCACGGUGGGUGAGGAGAGGAGGCAGGAGAAGGAGCAGGCUGGGGAGGGGGACAGAGAAAGAUGAGAGACUCCCGUUGAAUAGCUGUCGGAAGUGAGGUCACGGAAGUGAGGUCACUGAGGGGUCAUCCCUUGUGCUCAGCUGGCGGCCGGGGCCAGAACCCAGUCUCCUGGCGUCUAUUGCAAAGCUCACCCCUCAUCCCCCAGCCCCCUAAAGGGAGAAAGGGUCACUGCUCUGAAAAGAGGGAGGAACUAAGCAGCGCUCUCCUCAGCAAGCCAGGGAAGGUGAUCCUGACUAAAAGCCAGAAGAGGGGCAGAGUUUGGUCUGCCAGGCUUCAGGGAGAGAAUUCCAUACCGCGAGAAAAACUUUGAUUAUAGAGCGGGCUCGAGAUGAAGGGGAGGAGCUGGCUGAGCAGCAGCUGGAGGCUUCAGACAGAAGCCCUGGGUCUCCCUCUCGAGACUCAGUGGGCGUGGACUCGGGGAACAGUUUUAGGACCGACAAACCUUGAGCGAUGAGGUUUCGGGGAGCCCGGGCCCUAUACCCCCGCCUCUUUGACCACUCGUCCCUGAGCCUCAGUUUCCUCACUGGCAAAACAGAGAUGGUAACACCCCCUGUAGCCUGGCUCAAGGCCAAGUCUUCACAAAUGUUACUGCCUCUCUUCUGUACCCUACCACCCUCCACCGACCCUUAUUGGGCUCAGGCUUCGUAGGGAUGCGGUCUGAUCAUCCAGCUCUCCCACUCAUUCAUUCCUGCAGGGAGCAUCGCCAGGCCCUGUGCCCAGCCCAGAACCUGAUAAGACCGUGCCCUCCGUGAGGAGCUCCUGCAGCAGCGGGGAGGGCAUCGAGGCAGUCCUGCAGGCGCAUGAUUACCGUGCUGUGUCAUCGGGGCUGUGUGGAGUUAGGGAGAGACCUCAUUUGUGAGGCCGUAUGUCAGCACCUCAACAUGAAUUCCCUUAAUUAUUUUUUACAAGCCCCGAAAUGACAAGAUCCUAAAAGGGAGAGGAACACCUAGACGGUGCUCUUUCCUGAGAGGCCAGAACCCUGGCUUUGCAUCCCUGCUUGGCCACCAGCUCGCCUAGGACCGUCCAUGGAUUUUUCCCUCUUGGAAAGAAAUCACUGCCUGUUCGGCCUCCUCCUCAUGAGGAACUGGUGCGGGAAUGUUUGAGAGUGAGUGCCCCGUCAGAUACGGGGUAAGCACGAACCUUCUCCACAGAAUAACCCUUUGAGCGGUUCUGGCCUCUCAUCUCUUUUCCUGGACAACUUGUGGAGAGUCUACAGGGGGACGCCUCACCGCCUCUUCCGAAGCUACACUCUGCCAAUCCCCGCCCCACACUGCUAGUGGCCGCCCUCUAGGGCAGGGCGGGGAGCUGAGGCCCUGGGCCUGAUCCCCACCCACUUGCCAUGUGACCUUGCUCUCCUCUGCUCAUUCUUCUCCAGGCACCGCCCCCCGACGCCCGCCCCGUUUCCCCAUCUGUUCACCUAGGAGGGGCUGGCCCAGGAAGUCUUUAACGUUUCCAAAGCCAUCUCCUGUGAAGUAUCAGUGAACUUUAUCCUUGUUGCUUCAGUCUUAAAGGUAUUGGUUGAAAGAAAGUAUGUUAAAACAAGCAUUUAAUCAAAGGGAUUUUUGCAUUAAAGAAUAAACUUUACAUCUCUGGGGUGCAGAAGUGUCAAGAAUCUUGGAGUCAAAGCAGACUUGGGAGGGUCUCUGAGGGAGGAAGACAAACAUGACCCUUCCUUGGUUCCCUGUUGCUUGUGGUCCUGACUCAGCUUGGCUGUCAAAGCCCUGCACCACCCUUGAGGGUGGGGGCUUGAUCUUUGUCCCUUGACCAGGCGCAGUACCUGGUGCCGUCCUUGACCAGGCCUGGCAUAGAACCUGCUGGUUGGCUGGCCAGGAACGUGGAUGGCUGGAAGGCUCAGUCAGUCAAUCUCUAGACUCCCUAAGGAGUUAAGUGACCCUCACUCUCCUAGAAGUGAGGGAAUUCAGUUUGCCUCCCAAGUCUCCUCUUGGCAACUCUGAAGUGGCAGUAUUUUCCAGCCUCUAGGUUCAUGUUUUACACACACAUAUCACAGACACUGAUGUGUCACAAAAGAUACGUGAGAAGAACCUUGUAAAAGGCUCUAUAGCCUGGUAUCCUUCCUGUGGCAACAGGUGGCUGUGAAUCACCUCCCCUCCCUGGGCCUCAGUUUCCCCAUGUGUAAAAUGAAGCACUUGGACUAGAUAAUCCUUGAGUUCCUUUCUAGCUCUAGCAUCACCCUCAGAUGCCCUGGUACCCAGAACAGUAAUUGGACAAGGGGCAUGGUGACCCCAGGAUCUGGGUCAGUCCACAUCUUGGAGCAUGGCGGAAUCGUGGUGAUGGCCGCAGCCCCCUGGAAACUGAACGUGGCAGGAACUGGCUGAGAGAUUUUUUUGCUGAUGGUGAAAUGUCCUGGCAGAGUCUACGCAGACCCUGAGGGGUUCCUCCCCUCCACCCCCUAUAAUGAAGAAUGCUGCCGGUAACAUCUUGGCACCUGCCUGCUCCAGAAAUGUUUCUAUAGGGUAGGUACUGAGAGUGGAACUCUGGUCUCUAUGGUGUCCACUGUUUUAUUUUCAAUAAACACAACCCAGGUUGUCUUCUGAAGUUGCAGUGCCAGUUUAAGCUCCUUCCACAAGUAAAUGUACAUCUUUCUUUUUCCAGACCAUUGCCAGCUUUUAAAGGUUAUGGAUCUGAUGGAUGAAAGAAAGUGGUUUCUUCCUGAUUUCAUUUGUGUUUUCCUGGUCACGCUGUGGUCUCCUCCUGGGUAUCCUGGCCAUUUAUAUUUCUUCUCAUUGGGAUCAUCUGUGCAUCUCCUUUGUCCAUCUUUCUUCUGUGUUGUUUUUUUCUUAUUGAUUUAUGGGAUUUCUUUAUGUAUUUUUUAUAUUAAUUCCCUGUCUACUCUGCAUUGCACAUAAUUCUCUACCAUUCUGACCCUUGUCAUUUUAGCUGUGUUGUAUCUUUCAUCACAGAACUUUUCAUUUCUUUGUCAAAUUUAGAAUCUUAUCUUGCCUUAAGAAGGCCCUCCUGGGGACUUCCCUGCUGAUCCAGUGGUUAAGUCUCCACGCUCCCAAUGCAGGGGGCCUGGGUUAGAUCCCUGGUUAGGGAGCUAGAUCCCACAUGCAUGCCACAACUAAGAGCCCGCAUGCCGCAACUAAGAGUCCGCAUGCCACAGCUAAAGAUCCCAUGUGCCGCAACGAAGACCCAAUGCAGCCAAAUAAAUAAAAUAAAUAUUUUUUUUAAAAAAGAAGUCCCUCCCUGUACUAAGAUCACAACCAUUUUUCCUGUAUUUUUUCUAAAGCUUUCGUAGUUUUCUUUCUUGCAUAUUUAUUUUAUAUUAUUUUACUAUUUUCACAUUUAAGUCUUUACUGCAUAUGAAGCUAAUUUUAAGUAUGAUAUCAGUGCUUUAUUUUAAUAAAUUUCAAAACUGAUAACCAAUUUUUUCAAUACCAUUUAUUGGAUAAUCUGUCAUUUCUUCAGUAAUUUAAAAUUGCUGCCUCUGCCUGACACUAAAUUCCAAUGCGGGUCUAUGUCAGGGCUCUUUCUGGUCCACUGAUCUAUUUGUCUACUCCUGAGCGUGAUAAUAUGCUUUGCUAACUGGCAGGACAAAUCCCACCCUCUUUGUUGUUUUUGUAAAAUUGCCUUGAUCAUCCUUGCAUAUUUGUCCCACCACAUGAAUUUUAAAAUAGCCUGUCAAGUUUCAGGAAAAAUUCUGCUGGGAUUUUAAUUGGGAUCACAUUGAGUUUUAGGUAAGUUUGAAGAAAAUUGGCCCCUUUAUCAUAUUUGAGUCUUCUGCCAAUGCUCGUUGCUAUUAUCUCUCAGUUCCGGUCACUCUCAUGUCUUUCAGGGAAGUUUUAUGGUUUUCUCUACAGUCUUGCCUAUUUCUUGAUAAAUUUAAUCCUAGGUUUAUUACAGGUUUUGUUGUCAGCUGUGAAUAGGGUCUCCUCUGCCUUUAUCUGUUUGGCCCUUGUUUUUCCAUAUUUCAUUUCAACCUGUUUACCAACCAGUGGGCUUGACUUGCAGACACACACGCAAAGUGAACAUUCUUCCUCCGGGGGCACAAAUAUGCAAGCACCACCAAACACACAGAGCCGGCAUAAUUGGCCGAAAACAAAUUAGAAUCUUUUCAGAUUAUACUUUAAUUAACGAAGUAAAGCAUGAAUACAUUUUCCUUUUGAAAGUAGGACAAUAUGAAUGUAAGUAAAGUUUCCUUUGGCCACCCUCUGAAAUCCUAGUUUCCCUCCCUCCCCCGCAGUUUUAUGAGUCUCCUUCCAUAGAAAUGUAAGUAUCGAUGGAGGUAUUUUGAAUGAAUCAUCCCACUCUAUAGAGAUUUUACUGUAAGCUGUGUUUUUUCACUCCAUCUUAUAUUUCUAAGAUAUACUGAUACAGAGAGCUCUUGCCAGUUCCUUUUAGUAGCUGUGUUAUAUUCAUUCCCAUGAAUGUGCUACAUUUUUCCUUCCUAAGAUCCAUGGACAUUUAGUUGCAUCCUUUUCUUUCCUCCAUCAUAAGCAGCGCCACAGAAAACAGUCUUACACGUGCCUCUUCUGUAAUGUUUCUCUAGGGUAGUGAUUGAGAAGUGGAAUUUGUGUUCUCAGGGUUUCCACAUUUUUAGUUUUAGACGUUACCAAAGUGUCCUCCAUAAUUUCUGUACCAUUUAAACUUCUAGCCAGAGGGUAUGGGAGGACUCCCCACACCAUAAGCGAUUGUUUUAAAUGUUUGCCAAUUUGCUGGGUGAAAAAUUGAAUCAUUUUUUAAAGUUUAUACAUACCUGUUUGCUAGUGAGAUUUUCAUAUGUGUUUUAGGCAUUUGUAUUUUCUCUUUUCUGAAUGAUCUGUUUAUUUUUGCUCAUUUAAAAAAUUAGGUUGUUUGUCUUUAUCUUAUUGAUUUUUGAGUUUCCUAAUAUAAUCUGGAUAUUAAUCUUUUGUGUGUGUGUGUGUAUAUGUGUGUAUAUAUAUAUAUAUAUAUAUAUAUAUAUAUAUAUAUAUAUAUAUGGCAAAUGUUUUCUUUCAGCUUGUCUGUUGCCUUCAAAUUUCGUAGGGGCUUUUGUUAGACAGAAGUUAUCAAUUUUGACAUAAUCAAAUUUAUCCAUCUUUUCCUUUAUUCCUUGUAUUUAUAUUAUGUUUAGGCCUUUCUUACUCCUAAGGUUUAAGUAUACUCUGUAUUCCUUUCUAGUAAUUUUGUUUUUAUUUGGGUCUUUAAUGCAGCUGGAAUGUAUGUUUAUGAUUGAAAUGAGAUAUGAUCUAACCUUUCUGCAAACACACAGCUGAUUACUGCAACAUGACGGACUGUCUAGUUCCUUCUCUCUCCACUGAUCUGAAGUGAAACUCCCUCAUAUACUGAAUUGCCAUGUCUAGGUGCUGUUGGGUGAAAACGUGAUACUUGGAGCUCUGACAGCCAUCUUGUGACCAGGAGGGGAAGGCCAGGAGAUGCAACUCUGUGCUGACUCGGUUCGGACACCUGGCACCACUGACUUCUGGACUUUCUUUGAAAUAAAUAAAAUGGUCUUACUGUUUAAGCCACUCUCGGGUUUUUUGU